rnacentral:tRNA from 1 species
GGAUAUAACUCAGUGGUAGAGCAUGUGCUUAACAUGCAUGAGGUCCCAGGUUCAAUCCCUAGUACUUCCA